AGUAACUCAAAUAACCAGGCGUUACAACAGCGUGUGUGGAACAGCAUCUCUGAACGCUCAACACUCUGAACCUUGAAGUGGAUGGGCUACGGCUGCAAAAGACCACGAACAUACACUCAGCGGCCAUUUUAUCAGGUUCCUCCUGUACAUGAUAAAGUGGCCAUGGGUGUGUUUUACUGCCCAGUUAGAGCAUCAGGAAUGACUGUUGGGACAGUUGAGCACUCCUCUUGUGGGAUGUGGGGAGACAAGGAGACCUCCAGUAUCCCUGACCAACGUACCGGAAAGAAAUGAAUCCAGCUGCAGCUUCUCAAAAACACAUUAGGAAACUGGAACUGCAGUCACAAAGCAAGGAACCCGAAAGAACCCAAUUUUGAAAAAUAAAGACCAACCCCCAAUGUGCACAGAGAAAGUGAAAAAAAAACAAAUCAUGCAAACAACUGAAGCAAGCAACAACAACAGUAUUCUGAAACAAAUUGAGUCCUGAGAUCCAAAUCCCCGGAGCAAACCGGUGUAGGCCCAAAGCCUCCGUAUUCAGUUCAUCAUAUUAGCGGGGCAAAUCGCAGCCUGAUCUGCUGGGUUCCUCCAGCAUUUUGUAUGAGUUGCUUUGGACUGCAGAAUUUCUCAUGUUUCUAUAUUCUUGAUGCGUCUCUCUUACCUUUAGUUCCCUUUACCUGCUUUCUUUCUUUCUUUAUUAAACUUGUUAUUGAUUUUAAAAAAAGCAUAAAUAUAAUCGAGGAGAAUUAGUUCAAAUAUAUAUAUCAGUAACAAUAUAAACCAAGAUUAAGACAAACAUUGUCAAAAUCAUAGAUAUUGUUAAACUAGUACCUGCUAUACGCGUCUUUUCUCUCUAUCCAACCUUCAAAUUUCCUCCAUAUCUGGGAUGCCCUGUACUUGUUUCCCUUGGCUCUCUCCCUCACAGGAACACAUUAGCCUCAAUUUCUCACUGUUCCUCUUUUGAAAGCUGUCAGUAGAUGCUUCCAGUUUACCUUUGCCAGGUCCUGCCCCGUACUAACGAAAUUGUUGUGUCUGGAACCUUAUCAGAUCAAAAGAGCCCGAGGGGACCAGAUAUCCCGGACAAUGGGGCUACCCUGAUUCUGCUUUCUUUUGCAGGACCUCAGCACAUUUUGGCCCCUACCCUGCAAUAAUAAACAUGAUUUAGUAACCAGACGGUAAAUAAUGGCAGCAGCAAACAACACAACUUCACAGCCGGAGAGGCUGAAAGACAUGGCUAUACCGAGAACAAAGACAAUUUCCUGGCCGCACUCCAACUCCAUCAUACUCCACCAGACCCAGAGCGAAUCUUCUGCUCCUUUUCGGUACCGGUGUAGGACCGGGAGUGUAACCAGGAGCACCCUGGAUGUGCGGUGCAGAUAUUUGCCCAGACAUCUUUGGAAACAAACAAGAGUGUGCUUGUGUGGGGUACUUGGACUAUGCUAAGUAUCUGUGAGGUACUAAACUCAGCCUGGGUACCAACUGGAUACCUUGUACUCUCCUAGCCAUCACACCUGAGCAUUUGAGCACUGAAUGUAUGCCCAGGUGUCUAUGGAAUGCCACCUGUUUGCCCAGGUAUUCACACUCAGUGACAGUUUAUUAGGUAUCGCCUGUACCCAAUAAAAUGGCCACUGAGUGUAUGUUUGCUGUCUUCUGCUGCUGUAGCCCAUCCACUUCAAGGUUUGACGUGUUGUGCAUUCAGAGAUACUCUUCUGCAUACCACUGUUGUAAUGUGUGGUUAUUUGAGUUACUGUCGCCUUCCUGUCAGCUUGAAUCUGUUAACUGAUCUCUCUCGUUAACAAGGUAUUUUCACCCACAGUACCUCCACUCUCUGGAUUUCUGUUUCAGCAUUUUUGCACCAUUCUCUGUAAACAGGAGUGAAAAACUGCUGUGCAUGAAAAUCCCAGGAGAUGAGCAGUUUCUGAGAUACUCAAACCACCCUGCCUGGCACCAACAAUCAUUCCAUGGCCAAAGUUACUUCGAUCACAUUUCUUCCCCAUUCUGAUGUUUGGUCUGAACAACAACUGAACCUCUUGACCAUGUCUGCGUGCUUUUAUGCAUCGAGUUGCUGCCACGUGAUCGACUGAUUAGUUAUUUGCAAUAACAAGCGGGUGUCUGGGUGUACCUGAUAAAGUGGGUGCUGGUGGUUUCCCAGGUAUUUGUGUGAUACCAGGUUUGUGCCUGUGUGUGUCCAGUCGUCUGUGUGUUGUGGACUAUACACAGGAACGCAGUCCGAGUGAUGACCGUUACACCACAGUGUUUUACUCUGGAAAACCAGCAACAAAAUGUUUUCUCAGAUUUCUCAGCCUAUUAAUAGCAUCAACUUCCCGUCUCAGUAUAAACUCUGCCGAUAAUCCAAUGCCUCUUUGUUGUUUGGGGAUAUUCUGGGUGACCUUCCAGUUGAAUAAAACCCUUUUAAAAACUCUCACAGUGCCGGCUCCACAGAUAGGCAUUGUUUUGCUGAUUGUACUCGGCACUGUUGUGUGGCCACUUCUGUUUCUAACUCAUUGUAUGCUAAAUGUGCCC